rnacentral:rRNA from 1 species
GGACCCGCACAAGCGGUGGAUGAUGUGGUUUAAUUCGAUGCAACGCGAAAAACCUUACCUACCCUUGACAUGCUAGGAAUCCUGCAGAGAUGUGGGAGUGCUCGAAAGAGAGCCUAGACACAGGUGCUGCAUGGCCGUCGUCAGCUCGUGUCGUGAGAUGUUGGGUUAAGUCCCGCAACGAGCGCAACCCUUAUCAUUAGUUGCUACGCAAGGGCACUCUAAUGAGACUGCCGGUGACAAACCGGAGGAAGGUGGGGAUGACGUCAGGUCAUCAUGGCCCUUAUGGGUAGGGCUACACACGUCAUACAAUGGCCGGUACAGAGGGCUGCCAACCCGCGAGGGGGAGCUAAUCUCAGAAAACCGGUCGUAGUCCGGAUCGCAGUCUGCAACUCGACUGCGUGAAGUCGGAAUCGCUAGUAAUCGCGGAUCAGCUUGCCGCGGUGAAUACGUUCCCGGGUCUUGUACACACCGCCCGUCACACCAUGGGAGCGGGUUCUGCCAGAAGUAGUUAGCCUAACCGCAAGGGGGGCGAUUACCACGGCAGGGUUCGUGACUGGGGUGAAGUCGUAACAAGGUAGCCGUAUCGGAAGGUGCGGCU